AGGAUGCCAGAAGAGAGCGUGGCCUCAUGUGUACCAGCUCUCUGCUCUCCUUUGCCUUGGGACGUUCCAUCCCUGGAAGUUUCCCUGCCCACAUCUUUGUAGAGAGUCCAUUCUCCAAGCUUCAGUGUGUCAUCUGUGAGGACUGUGACCAACCUGGUACAUCGCCUCAGGGCAUUCAUUUCAGGCUCCUUCUAAAUGGUCAAGAUCUUGCUUUCUUUUGUAUGUUUGCAAAGAAUAUAUAGUACACUUCCUUGAUCUGUGGUUCCUAAAAUGUGAUUCCCAACAAGCAGCAUCAGGAUCACCUGGAAACUUGAUAGAAAUGUAAAUUCUACAGUCCCUCCUUGGAGCUACAGAUUCAGAAAUUCUGAAGUUUAAGUCCAGCAGUUGGUUAUAAUAAGCUCUCUAGGUGAUUCCAACUCGCACCAAGGCACCCUUGGAAAUGCAAUGCUACAUCUCAAUGGGAUUUUCCAGUACAAAGAUUCUUUUCAAAUAACAUAAUUGUGGAUACACACCACUCCUACAGUGCUGCACUGAUGAGGAAACUGAAACAGAAAAUCCAGAGUAAAUUCCACCAGGCCACACAGCAAGGUCUGAUAGAGCCAGGAGAGACUUUAUGAAAUCCAGACUCUCACACUAAUGCUCUAUCAGCUAGACCUCCAUGUGAGUCUCCCCAAUGUAGGUAGGAAGUGC
rnacentral:lncRNA from 1 species